GAGGAAGCUGAAAUAUAGUGGCAUGUAUAGCUGAUCAGGAGCCAGUGAGGAAACCCCAGGGACAGGUGGCUGAAAGGAUUUAACAGCACAGAAAUUGUAUACAUCAGGGUCCAGGAGGUGAAGGAGAUCUCUUUACAUGAACAGAAAUAUUUUUGAAAAUCUUUCAAAGCAGGUGAUGCUACAGUCUCUGUGCUUCACAAAUCCAAGUUAUCAUUAUUGGCUACCACUCCUCCAUAUGCACAAGCAAUAAGUCAGGUAUUCCUUCCAGUAAUUGGGGCUACAAUGUAAACUUAGCAAUGCUUCCAGAUUAACACAGUUGUAAAAACAAGACUUCCUAAUAACCUGUCAUCUGCUUUCCCAAUUUCUCUAUAAUUUUAGUCUGUAGAUGACAUUCUUGUGGAGUUUUAGGUGACUGUCAUAUUGCAGCCAUCUGGCAGCCUGUUUAAGAAGCACAACUCUGACAUUAUAAGAUGAUGCAUCAGUGGUUAAAAACAAAACAAAAGGUGGUUGAUGUUUAUUGUAAUA
rnacentral:lncRNA from 1 species